GAUGAACGCUGGCGGCGUGCCUAAUACAUGCGAGUCGAGCGAACGGACGAGAAGCUUGCUUUUCUGAUGUUAGCGGCGGACGGGUGAGUAACACGUGGAUAACCUACCCAUAAGACUGGGAUAACUUCGGGAAACCGGAGCUAAUACCGGAUAAUAUUUUGAACCGCAUGGUUCAAAAGUGAAAGACGGUCUUGCUGUCACUUAUAGAUGGAUCCGCGCUGCAUUAGCUAGUUGGUAAGGUAACGGCUUACCAAGGCAACGAUGCAUAGCCGACCUGAGAGGGUGAUCGGCCACACUGGAACUGAGACACGGUCCAGACUCCUACGGGAGGCAGCAGUAGGGAAUCUUCCGCAAUGGGCGAAAGCCUGACGGAGCAACGCCGCGUGAGUGAUGAAGGUCUUCGGAUCGUAAAACUCUGUUAUUAGGGAAGAACAUAUGUGUAAGUAACUGUGCACAUCUUGACGGUACCUAAUCAGAAAGCCACGGCUAACUACGUG
rnacentral:rRNA from 1 species